AAUGGGGGCAACCCUGAUCCAGCCAUGCCGCGUGAGUGAAGAAGGCCCUAGGGUCGUAAAACUCUUUCGCCUGUGAUGAUAAUGACAGUAGCAGGUAAAGAAACCCCGGCUAACUCCGUGCCAGCAGCCGCGGUAAUACGGAGGGGGUUAGCGUUGUUCGGAAUUACUGGGCGUAAAGCGCACGUAGGCGGAUUAGAAAGUUAGAGGUGAAAUCCCGGGGCUCAACCCCGGAACUGCCUUUAAAACUACUAGUCUAGAGUUCGAGAGAGGUGAGUGGAAUUCCGAGUGUAGAGGUGAAAUUCGUAGAUAUUCGGAGGAACACCAGUGGCGAAGGCGGCUCACUGGCUCGAUACUGACGCUGAGGUGCGAAAGUGUGGGGAGCAAACAGGAUC
rnacentral:rRNA from 1 species